GUGGGGAAUCUUGCGCAAUGGGCGAAAGCCUGACGCAGCCAUGCCGCGUGAAUGAUGAAGGUCUUAGGAUUGUAAAAUUCUUUCACCGGGGACGAUAAUGACGGUACCCGGAGAAGAAGCUCCGGCUAACUUCGUGCCAGCAGCCGCGGUAAUACGAAGGGGGCUAGCGUUGCUCGGAAUUACUGGGCGUAAAGGGCGCGUAGGCGGACAGCUUAGUCAGAGGUGAAAGCCCAGGGCUCAACCUUGGAAUUGCCUUUGAUACUGGCUGUCUUGAGUUUGGGAGGGGUGAGUGGAACUCCGAGUGUAGAGGUGAAAUUCGUAGAUAUUCGGAAGAACACCAGUGGCGAAGGCGACUCACUGGCCCAAUACUGACGCUGAGGCGCGAAAGCGUGGGGAGCAAACAGGAUUAGAUACCCCAGUAGUCC
rnacentral:rRNA from 1 species